GACGAACGCUGGCGGCGUGCUUAACACAUGCAAGUCGAACGGAAAGGCCCUGCUUUUGUGGGGUGCUCGAGUGGCGAACGGGUGAGUAACACGUGAGUAACCUGCCCUUGACUUUGGGAUAACUUCAGGAAACUGGGGCUAAUACCGGAUAGGAGCUCCUGCUGCAUGGUGGGGGUUGGAAAGUUUCGGCGGUUGGGGAUGGACUCGCGGCUUAUCAGUUUGUUGGUGGGGUAGUGGCUUACCAAGGCUUUGACGGGUAGCCGGCCUGGGAGGGUGACCGGCCACGUUGGGACUGAGAUACGGCCCGGACUCCUACGGGAGGCAGCAGUGGGGAAUGGUGCACAAUGGGCGGAAGCCUGAUGCAGCAACGCCGCGUGCGGGAUGACGGCCUUCGGGUUGUAAACCGCUUUCGCCUGUGACGAAGCGUGAGUGACGGUAAUGGGUAAAGAAGCACCGGCUAACUACGUG
rnacentral:rRNA from 1 species